rnacentral:lncRNA from 1 species
AUGAAGCUUUUUCCGACACUGUCCGGACUGUUGCUGUUGCUGAUAACGAGCAGCGUUGCGUUCAAGACGAAGAAGCUCCUGGCACUAACCGCACUGAGCCACGCGGGUUUGGGCGGCCUCGGAGGGCUCGGCCUUCUAGGGCUAGCCGGUCUCCAUCACCAUGGACACUACGGUGGACACUAUGGCCACGGAGGACACUACGGUCACGGCGGAUACUAUGGUCAUGGUUACGGCCAUGGCUACGGCCACGGUUACGGCUACGGCUAUGGAUGGCCUUCUUACGGAUACGGCUACGGAUACGGAUGGCCAGGUUACGGAGGCUACGGUGGUUACGGAUGGUGGUGAAAGCUGUGCUCUGUGAAUGUUCGACGACUGUGGAAGAUCGAAAAAGCGAAGUCGUCUGUAAAUAGCAAAACUUCUCUAUCGCUCAAUAAAACAGGCGAACGAAGCCGA